UAAAAAAAGGUAAGCUACUAAGAGCGAAUGGUGGAUGCCUUGACUGGUAAAGGCGAUGAAGGACGUACUAGACUGCGAUAAGCUACGGGGAGCUGUCAAGAAGCUUUGAUCCGUAGAUUUCCGAAUGGGGCAACCCAAUGUAUAGAGAUAUACAUUACCUAUAUAGGAGCGAACGAGGGGAAUUGAAACAUCUUAGUACCCUCAGGAAAAGAAAUCAAUAGAGAUUGCGUCAGUAGCGGCGAGCGAAAGCGCAAGAGGGCAAACCCAGUGCUUGCACUGGGGGUUGUAGGACUGCAAUGUGCAAGAGGUAAGUUUAGCAGAACAUUCUGGAAAGUAUAACCAUAGAGGGUGAUAGUCCCGUAUGCGAAAAACAAACCUUAGCUAGCAGUAUCCUGAGUAGGGCGGGACACGAGGAAUCCUGUCUGAAUCCGGGUCGACCACGAUCCAACCCUAAAUACUAAUACCAGAUCGAUAGUGCACAAGUACCGUGAGGGAAAGGUGAAAAGAACUGAGGUGAUCAGAGUGAAAUAGAACCUGAAACCAUUUGCUUACAAUCAUUCAGAGCCCUAUGUAGCAAUACAGGGUGAUGGACUGCCUUUUGCAUAAUGAGCCUGCGAGUUGUGGUGUCUGGCAAGGUUAAGCAAACGCGAAGCCGUAGCGAAAGCGAGUCUGAAUAGGGCGCUUAGUCAGAUGCUGCAGACCCGAAACGAAGUGAUCUAUCCAUGAGCAAGUUGAAGCUAGUGUAAGAACUAGUGGAGGACUGAACCCAUAGGCGUUGAAAAGCCCCGGGAUGACUUGUGGAUAGGGGUGAAAGGCCAAUCAAACUUCGUGAUAGCUGGUUCUCUCCGAAAUAUAUUUAGGUAUAGCGUUGUGUCGUAAUAUAAGGGGGUAGAGCACUGAAUGGGCUAGGGCAUACACCAAUGUACCAAACCCUAUCAAACUCCGAAUACCUUAUAUGUAAUCACAGCAGUCAGGCGGCGAGUGAUAAAAUCCGUCGUCAAGAGGGAAACAACCCAGACUACCAGCUAAGGUCCCUAAAUCUUACUUAAGUGGAAAACGAUGUGAAGUUACUUAAACAACCAGGAGGUUGGCUUAGAAGCAGCCAUCCUUUAAAGAAAGCGUAAUAGCUCACUGGUCUAGUGAUUUUGCGCGGAAAAUAUAACGGGGCUAAAGUAAGUACCGAAGCUGUAGACUUGCACACAACUUAGAUUAUUUAAGUUUAGAAUAUGAGAAACUAAGUUAUAUGUUUAGUUAUAUUUUUACUGAUUUUUAUAGAGUAAAGAUAGAAAUAAAACUUAGUAAAAUCAGUAAAAAUAUUCUUAGACUAAAGUUAAGUAGUUUAAGUUGUGUGCAAGUGGUAGGAGAGCGUUCUAUUUGCGUCGAAGGUAUACCGGUAAGGAGUGCUGGAGCGAAUAGAAGUGAGCAUGCAGGCAUGAGUAGCGAUAAUUAAUGUGAGAAUCAUUAACGCCGUAAACCCAAGGUUUCCUACGCGAUGCUCGUCAUCGUAGGGUUAGUCGGGUCCUAAGUCGAGUCCGAAAGGGGUAGACGAUGGCAAAUUGGUUAAUAUUCCAAUACCAACAUUAGUGUGCGAUGGAAGGACGCUUAGGGCUAAGGGGGCUAGCGGAUGGAAGUGCUAGUCUAAGGUCGUAGGAGGUUAUACAGGCAAAUCCGUAUAACAAUACUCCGAGAACUGAAAGGCUUUUUGAAGUCUUCGGAUGGAUAGAAGAACCCCUGAUGCCGUCGAGCCAAGAAAAGUUUCUAAGUUUAGCUAAUGUUGCCCGUACCGUAAACCGACACAGGUGGGUGGGAUGAGUAUUCUAAGGCGCGUGGAAGAACUCUCUUUAAGGAACUCUGCAAAAUAGCACCGUAUCUUCGGUAUAAGGUGUGGUUAGCUUUGUAUUAGGAUUUACUCCGAAAGCAAGGAAACUUACAACAAAGAGUCCCUCCCGACUGUUUACCAAAAACACAGCACUCUGCUAACUCGUAAGAGGAUGUAUAGGGUGUGACGCCUGCCCGGUGCUCGAAGGUUAAUUGAUGGGGUUAGCAUUAGCGAAGCUCUUGAUCGAAGCCCGAGUAAACGGCGGCCGUAACUAUAACGGUCCUAAGGUAGCGAAAUUCCUUGUCGGUUAAAUACCGACCUGCAUGAAUGGCGUAACGAGAUGGGAGCUGUCUCAAAGAGGGAUCCAGUGAAAUUGUAGUGGAGGUGAAAAUUCCUCCUACCCGCGGCAAGACGGAAAGACCCCGUGGACCUUUACUACAGCUUGACACUGCUACUUGGAUAAGAAUGUGCAGGAUAGGUGGGAGGCUUUGAGUAUAUGACGCCAGUUGUAUAUGAGCCAUUGUUGAGAUACCACUCUUUCUUAUUUGGGUAGCUAACCAGCUUGAGUUAUCCUCAAGUGGGACAAUGUCUGGUGGGUAGUUUGACUGGGGCGGUCGCCUCCCAAAUAAUAACGGAGGCUUACAAAGGUUGGCUCAGAACGGUUGGAAAUCGUUCGUAGAGUAUAAAGGUAUAAGCCAGCUUAACUGCAAGACAUACAAGUCAAGCAGAGACGAAAGUCGGUCUUAGUGAUCCGGUGGUUCUGUGUGGAAGGGCCAUCGCUCAAAGGAUAAAAGGUACCCCGGGGAUAACAGGCUGAUCUCCCCCAAGAGCUCACAUCGACGGGGAGGUUUGGCACCUCGAUGUCGGCUCAUCGCAUCCUGGGGCUGGCGCAGGUCCCAAGGGUAUGGCUGUUCGCCAUUUAAAGCGGUACGCGAGCUGGGUUCAGAACGUCGUGAGACAGUUCGGUCCCUAUCUGCCGUGGGCGUAAGAAGAUUGAAGAGAUUUGACCCUAGUACGAGAGGACCGGGUUGAACAAACCACUGGUGUAGCUGUUGUUCUGCCAAGAGCAUCGCAGCGUAGCUAAGUUUGGAAAGGAUAAACGCUGAAAGCAUCUAAGCGUGAAGCCAACUCUAAGAUGAAUCUUCUCUAAGCUCUCUAGAAGACUACUAGUUUGAUAGGCUGGGUGUGUAAUGGAUGAAAGUCCUUUAGCUGACCAGUACUAAUAGAGCGUUUGGCUUAUCUUUAAUAAAGCAU
rnacentral:rRNA from 1 species